UACGUAGGGUGCAAGCGUUAAUCGGAAUUACUGGGCGUAAAGCGUGCGCAGGCGGCUUUGCAAGACAGAUGUGAAAUCCCCGGGCUCAACCUGGGAACUGCAUUUGUGACUGCAAGGCUGGAGUACGGCAGAGGGGGAUGGAAUUCCGCGUGUAGCAGUGAAAUGCGUAGAUAUGCGGAGGAACACCGAUGGCGAAGGCAAUCCCCUGGGCCUGCACUGACGCUCAUGCACGAAAGCGUGGGGAGCGAACAGG
rnacentral:rRNA from 1 species